AUUGAACGCUGGCGGCAGGCCUGACACAUGCAAGUCGAACGGUAACAGGAAGCAGCUUGCUGCUUUGCUGACGAGUGGCGGACGGGUGAGUAAUGUCUGGGAAACUGCCCGAUGGAGGGGGAUAACUACUGGAAACGGUAGCUAAUACCGCAUAACGUCGCAAGACCAAAGAGGGGGACCUUAGGGCCUCUUGCCAUCGGAUGUGCCCAGAUGGGAUUAGCUAGUAGGUGGGGUAACGGCUCACCUAGGCGACGAUCCCUAGCUGGUCUGAGAGGAUGACCAGCCACACUGGAACUGAGACACGGUCCAGACUCCUACGGGAGGCAGCAGUGGGGAAUAUUGCACAAUGGGCGCAAGCCUGAUGCAGCCAUGCCGCGUGUAUGAAGAAGGCCUUCGGGUUGUAAAGUACUUUCAGCGGGGAGGAAGGGAGUAAAGUUAAUACCUUUGCUCAUUGACGUUACCCGCAGAAGAAGCACCGGCUAACUCCGUG
rnacentral:rRNA from 1 species